rnacentral:rRNA from 1 species
CGGAGGAUCCAAGCGUUAUCCGGAAUCAUUGGGUUUAAAGGGUCCGUAGGCGGUUUAGUAAGUCAGUGGUGAAAGCCCAUCGCUCAACGGUGGAACGGCCAUUGAUACUGCUAGACUUGAAUUAUUAGGAAGUAACUAGAAUAUGUAGUGUAGCGGUGAAAUGCUUAGAGAUUACAUGGAAUACCAAUUGCGAAGGCAGGUUACUACUAAUGGAUUGACGCUGAUGGACGAAAGCGUGGGUAGCGAACAGGAUUAGAUACCCUGGUAGUCCACGCCGUAAACGAUGGAUACUAGCUGUUCGGAGCAAUCUGAGUGGCUAAGCGAAAGUGAUAAGUAUCCCACCUGGGGAGUACGUUCGCAAGAAUGAAACUCAAAGGAAUUGACGGGGGCCCGCACAAGCGGUGGAGCAUGUGGUUUAAUUCGAUGAUACGCGAGGAACCUUACCAAGGCUUAAAUGUAGAUUGACCGGUUUGGAAACAGACUUUUCGCAAGACAAUUUACAAGGUGCUGCAUGGUUGUCGUCAGCUCGUGCCGUGAGGUGUCAGGUUAAGUCCUAUAACGAGCGCAACCCCUGUUGUUAGUUGCCAGCGAGUCAUGUCGGGAACUCUAACGAGACUGCCAGUGUAAACUGUGAGGAAGGUGGGGAUGACGUCAAAUCAUCACGGCCCUUACGCCUUGGGCUACACACGUGCUACAAUGGCCGGUACAGAGAGCAGCCAC